rnacentral:rRNA from 1 species
CCUACGGGGGGCAGCAGUGGGGGAUAUUGCACAAUGGUGGAAACCCUGAUGCAGCGACGCCGCGUGUGGGAAGACGGUCCUCUGGAUUGUAAACCACUUUCCCCAGGGACGAAGAUGACGGUACCUGGGGAGGAAGCUCCGGCUAACUACGUGCCAGCAGCCGCGGUAAUACGUAGGGAGCGAGCGUUGUCCGGAAUUACUGGGUGUAAAGGGAGCGUAGGCGGGUCUGCAAGUUGGGUGUCAAAUCUACCGGCUCAACCGGUAGCCGCACUCAAAACUGCAGUUCUUGAGUGAAGUAGAGGCAGGCGGAAUUCCUAGUGUAGCGGUGAAAUGCGUAGAUAUUAGGAGGAACACCAGUGGCGAAGGCGGCAUGCUGGGCUUUUACUGACGCUGAGGCUCGAAAGUGUGGGGAGCAAACAGGAUUAGAUACCCUUGUAGUC